GGCUCAUUACAACAGCCAUUUUAUACUUGAUGUUGAUCUCCCACGUGGAUAACUGUGGUAAUUCUAGAGCUAAUACAUGCACCAAAGCUCUGAUUUUUUGACGAGCGCAUCUAUUAGACUAAAAACCAAUCGAGAAUCGUCUUGCAUUCGUGCUCGAAAAACUCGUUUUUUUGGUGACUCUGAAUAGCUUAGCUGAUCGCAUGGUCAAGUACCGGCGACGUAUCUUACAAGUGUCUGCCUUAUCAACUUUCGAUGGUAGUUUAUAUGCCUACCAUGGUUGUAACGGGUAACGGAGAAUAAGGGUUCGACUCCGGAGAGGGAGCCUGAGAAACGGCUACCACAUCCAAGGAAGGCAGCACCCGCGCAAAAAACCCACUCUCAGCACGACCAGGUAGUGACGAAAAAUAACGAGACCGUUCUCUUCGAGGCCGGUUAUCGGAAUGAGUACAACUUAAAGCCGUUAACGAGGAUCUAUGAGAGGGCAAGUCUGGUGCCAGCAGCCGCGGUAAUUCCAGCUCUCUUUGUGUAUAUCGUCAUUGCUGCGGUUAAAAAGCUCGUAGUUGGAUUUAAGCUCGUUGACUCGGUCCGUUCAUGGAACGUGAACUGAGCUCUUCAGCUAAUAUUGCUGGUUUUGUUUAGGUGGCCUUAAUCGGUCGCCUAGGCUGGCUAGCGAGUUUACUUUGAAAAAAUUAGAGUGCUC
rnacentral:rRNA from 1 species